rnacentral:rRNA from 1 species
UACGAAGGGGGCUAGCGUUGCUCGGAAUCACUGGGCGUAAAGCGCACGUAGGCGGACUCUUAAGUCGGUGGUGAAAUCCUGGAGCUCAACUCCAGAACUGCCUUCGAUACUGGGAGUCUCGAGUCCGGGAGAGGUGAGUGGAACUGCGAGUGUAGAGGUGAAAUUCGUAGAUAUUCGCAAGAACACCAGUGGCGAAGGCGGCUCACUGGCCCGGUACUGACGCUGAGGCGCGAAAGCUAGGGUAGCAAACGGG